AGUAAGCUGUUGUAGAGGUUUUCAAACUUUUUUAACAUGUGUACCCCUUUGGUCUCAAAGUUUCAGUUCAUGUACCCCUUUAUAUUUUUUCUUGUUUUAAAUGGUGC